rnacentral:rRNA from 1 species
CUACGGAGAGUUUGAUCCUGGCUCAGGACGAACGUUGGCGGCGUGCCUAAUACAUGCAAGUCAACUGAAGCACGGUAGCAAUACUGUGUGGAGGUGGCGCACGGGUGAGUAACACGUAGGUAAUCUGCCUUCAGGUCUGACAUAACUCCGGGAAACCGGAGCUAAUAGCAGAUGAUGCAGCGGCUUGACAUCAAGACAGUUGUUAAAGCUUCGGCGCCUGAAGAUGAGC